GUUUGCUGCCAACGAAAAAUUCUAUCGUAAAUUUAUCUCGGACAAGCAUAGCUUUUGUAAACCAGGAGAAUGCAACUUGCGGAAACGGAUGACAUUACUUGCAGUAAUCAAUAAAUGGUGGUAGGUUUUUCUUCAACUAAACGUUUAGUGCUACAAGAUGACAGACUCUGCUCUAUAAACGUCGGCAAAAUCUUGACACUAUUGAGAGCAAGGCUUUUCUUUAUUAUGUAAACAAGCUUACAAGUUGGGCCGAGGAUGGCGCUGAAAGAACUUGAAACAAAACGGUCAGACAAAAAAACCCACAAAACACAUUUUUUUUCAUGCUUUUAUUGUUUCAUUUUAUUUAUUCAUGCAUAUAGUCCUGAAAGGAAAUAACUAAUUCUAUAUAGACAUUAGCGACAUAAAUAGAAGCUUAAAUUCAAUAAAGAAAUCAAAUUCUGGGUUCGACUGAAGCUUGUCAAUAAUUCUUGCAGAAAACUCUUUCAAUUCAUUAGGUCUCCCGUAAUGGUUUCUCAGUUUACUUUGUAUUUCAAGUACCAGUUUUCAUCUGUUUCAGUCAGGAAAAAUAGGCGCAAUUUUGCAUAACCUUGAUUAUGUUAUCUACCAUAAAUUAGUUUAAGAUUGCCAAUGCACUUCGCACCAUACGACACAAGUAUUAUGAUGCUUAAAGGAAACCGUUAUACCAAAAGCAAAAUCACAUAAAAUAUUCCAAUUAGCCAUUCCUAAAGGCGGUCGCGUUGUUUUUCAAUGAUCAAAGAAAAUGUUCCACAUGAUUAGAAAUCGCCCUAAAGUGAAUGUCAGUUCAGUAUUGUUAACAUUGGACAAGGUUCAGCAGAAUUUGAACCAUGAUGAGAUUUGUUUCUUGAAAGACACAUAACCCAGAUGUAUAGAUCUAAUUAAAGUAUAAUCUUAGCAGAAGAUAAAACUCA